rnacentral:rRNA from 1 species
AUUGAACGCUGGCGGAAUGCUUUACACAUGCAAGUCGAACGGUAGAGGGGGCAACCCCCUUGAGAGUGGCGAACGGGUGAGUAAUAUAUCGGAACGUGCCCAGUCGUGGGGGAUAACGUAGCGAAAGUUACGCUAAUACCGCAUACGAUCUAAGGGUGAAAGCGGGGGAUCGCAAGACCUCGCGCGAUUGGAGCGGCCGAUAUCAGAUUAGGUAGCUGGUGAGGUAAAGGCUCACCAAGCCAACGAUCUGUAGCUGGUCUGAGAGGACGACCAGCCACACUGGAACUGAGACACGGUCCAGACUCCUACGGGAGGCAGCAGUGGGGAAUUUUGGACAAUGGACGCAAGUCUGAUCCAGCCAUUCCGCGUGCAGGAUGAAGGCCCUCGGGUUGUAAACUGCUUUUGUACGGACGAAAAGGUUUGUCUUAAUACGAUGAGCUCAUGACGGUACCGUAAGAAUAAGCACCGGCUAACUACGUG